CCUCUCUCUCCCUCUUUCUCUUCCCCUCUCUUUCUCUUCCUCUCUGUCUUUUUGUCUCUCUUUAUGUCUAUUGCAUUAUGCUUGAAUAAUUUUCAGCUGGUUUUUUUUUUUUUCUUUCCUCUCGCACGCACAUGCUAAAAUAACUAGACAAAGAUGCAAGGUGGUUGCUGCAGUCCCUGUCUCUAGGACAAAACCAAGAAAGCUCGGGAUUGCAAUGCCACCUUUCCUUUUUUUUUUUUUCUUUUUCUUUUUUUUUUUCCCCACCCAUGCUCGGUGAUUAAACUUACCCAGGAUGGGGAAGAAAAAGGAGCUGGAAAUUAAAUAGGGUUAAGGAAAAAGCCCAUUGCAGCAGCUGCAGCCAGUGGUGUCUGCUGCCAGAUGUGCUAAGGUUCCUAGGGUCCUUGACACUAAAAGGCAGUAUUAAAAUAUUUGGAGACAAAAGCUGCAUCUUCAGUGAUCAUUUUCUUUAUUUAACAUGGCAGCAAGCACCAUGUGGGGGAAAAUCAACACGCUGGAUGUUCAAUUGGACUUUUCUCCUUUCUAGGAUGAAAGGAUGUUAUCUAUCCCGUGCCAAGAGGGAACUGAGGUGCAGGGGGAGGGGAAGAAAGUCUUCCAAACUAGCCCGCCAUGAGCAAUGAACAUGUGGCUGUUACUAUCAGCACUAGUGUAUUGGCGGCGAUGCCUAUCAACAUCCACCAGAGAGCAGGGCAGCUCCAAAACCCACAUCUUUUAUGCUGUGGAAAUUGAUGGAGACAGCAACACAGCCAGCUUCUUGGCCAAACAACAUGGAAUGCAGUUCAUUUCAAAGGUACUGGUCUCUUAGCCUGUAAGGCUUGUGCAUGAUGUAUAUGAGAGCGAUUUCCAGCAGAGCGAAGCUUAUCACAGAUCCACCUAAAAGGAAGAGAGAGUGGCAUCAACAGCAUGCCCCUGUGUCUGGAAGACAUUGCUCGAUGGAAGAACAGUCUGUUAGACUCCCCAUGGGCAUGAUGGAAGGGAUCCCGGUGAGGAAAGAAAAUAUUUCCAGGAACUGAAGGAAUGGUUAUAGCAUCUCUAAAGAGGACAUUUGCCUGUGACUGAUAAAUAGAAAGGAAGCUUUCUGCCACUGUAGGUUGUGCUGAAGACUGCACCUUUUCCUGCCAGGUAUGGAAUUUGCUACAGUAAUUCAAGGCUUGUUGAUCAUUGUGUUGGAUUACUUCUGGCUCUCCUACUUGGAGUUGUCAGCUGAAAAGCGCAGAAACAUCAGGUGUUAAAGCCUGAUGAAAUUUCUAAGUAGCAUAAAGUAGAGCGCAGCCUGUUAUUUAGAUGUGUCAGCAGCAAAUAGCAUCAAAAUAUCUUCAAGGACGUGGUCAUUCUCUACAGACCUCCUGCUGGGUGAGAACCUUUGGGAUAGAGCCCCUGUGACACCCCCAUGCAUAAUACUUUCAAGUAAGGACUGAAUCCUUUUAGUGGAGAUUCUUUGGACUGAAAAUAUGGGUAGGAUUUGCCAGCAGGUAAUGGGAAUGCCCCUUUUUGCAUACCACUUCCUCCAGGACAGUGACAUCUCUUCCAUCCAUUACAUUCCUCUGCAAUCCACAUACUUUUCAAAAAUAAUUAUGUUUCUACCAGCACUUAUAAUUAGGUUUCAGUAUGGUAUUUGAUGUAUGUUGUAUUAUGAUAUUUUCCCUGUAAAUUCUUAUGUAUGCAUUUAUUUUCAUGAUACUUCAAUAAAAACAUCAAAAUUGAAAUUCAAAGCAAAACAAAAACAAAUGGGCAAGAACAUAUGGAACGGGAUAAACCCAUUAACAACUUUAUUAUGAGUGUUGUUUGCUAAAAACAUCAGCUUUGAUUUAGCUUUAUGGGGUAAAUCCACUGGAGAUUUAUUUUACAAAACUAUAAAAAAAUUCUGAAACUGUCACUUAUGUUUUUACAAGGAUCUCUAAUACUCUACAGACAGCAUAAGGCUAUGAAUUAGUGGAUUAGUAUGAGGGGGAGACGGUUACUACCUGUGAGAUGACUUUCCUCCUGUUCCACUAUAUAUUUAUGGUGCUGUGCAGCUAAACAAUAGAUGUGUUCUGUUCUGUCAUGACAUAUUUUUAUGGAUCUUUGCAAUUCUUUUUGAUUAAAAUUUUUUUGUCUGAAUAGUAUGGCUACUGUAACAAAUUGCUAGAAAAAAAAAACAAAAAGAGAAAAAUAAUUAAAGCUCAAAUAUUUUUGCAGGUUUUAAUAUGUAGUAUUUAACUUUUCAUGCUAGAAAGAAUGAGGGUUAUUAGAAUAACAUUAUGAUUAAGGGUGAUCAUUCAUUUUUCUUGUUUAUGGUAUGUAAAAUCUAGCAACAACAAGCUCGAGAAUUUCAGGAGCUGUCUUUUAUGAAACUUUUGACCAUCAGCAUUUCUCUCUUUGUCCCUCCUCCCACCCCUGUAUACAGCCUGAUGGUUCUGGUCACUGCAGCCAGUGUACGUCUGCUGGUGGUGACCAUGACAAAACUCCCAAGGCUUUUGUGCCUCUGCUAUUGCCUCCAGGCCUGAAAUGAGGUGAGGCUGCAGGGAACUGGGGCAGAGCCAUUAGUAUCUCAUCAAAACUGGUUCUUAAUGAAGCAUUUGAUAAAGCAGAAGGAAUUCUCUCUGCUGCUUGCACUGACAACAAGAAUAAGGGCAAAGGAAAAGGUUUGGAUGUAAAAAUACUCCCCCUUGCAGGAACAGCAUGAAUCAGUUUGUUUUGUUAUCAUGCACACGUUCUGGUAUAGGGGUAGGCAGGGAUUUUGCAGAUGACAUUUCUAUAUUGAUUUUAUAUAAUAAUGCUGUACUUGCUUGGUCUGGGCUGCAAAAUGCGCAGUGUGAACUACUUAAGUUCUGGCUCUUUGGCAGUAGAGAAUUGUGAGGCUAAAAUAAACUUCAGUUCCUUUACCCUUGGUAGCUGGUUUUUGCACCUGAAAUCCCAGCGCUAGGAGUUCAGUAAGUUUGUGUGUACACAUAGGUAUGUAUUUACUUAUGAAAUCUAUUUUUUCUCCAAGACCCUAUCUUAUAUCCAUAUCCAACUAGCUACAGGUUUUAUAAACAUCCUUGCCUUAUUCAGCUUUUGUUUUUCUUCCGUGCUUUAGAGUAGGUCACACCUAGGAUUGAUGUGUGAGGCCAAAGGGCUUUUCUUUUUCUAUAGCCCCCAGCCUGUUUUUUCACGAGCAUAAUUUCCCACCAUUUCUGGAUUUCGUUUUCUCCUUUCUAGUCCUUCUCAUCUUCAUGUGGUUGUUUUUUUUUGACUGUUGAUACCAUCUUGUACACAUAUUCUUUUCCCUUUUCCUCCCUUUCCCCCUCACAUCCUUCAUUCACACAUCCCCUUUGCUUCCUGUUUCGGUUCAUACACUUCUCUUUUCCUGGUCUCUUUUCCACACCUUUGUUUGAUCUCCCUCCAUUCGUGCUACAGCUGGGAAAAUAAUGUUCUCCACACCAAGGGAAGCGGAUCUUUAUUAAUGAUGGUGAAGUUUCACCAUGUAUAUUCACAUAAUGGAAAUAACAACAUGGUUGAGUGUCACUGACUGUUUUGCUAGGAAGAGGAUCUUUAAAUUAAGAGGCUUUCAAUAAUGUUCUUUGUAAUGUAAAAUGAUUUAGCUUCAAAUUACUCUGUAUCUGAAUAUGAGUUAGACAAAAUACUUGUCAGUAUUUGGCUGGAUUAUGAAGUCUCACCUUAUAUAUCUUAAUUGUUAAAAUUUUCUUUGGAUUUGGAUGAACUGUCACGCUUUACAAUUAGUGUGUAUCUGCUUCAGUAUUAAAUCCUUGGCUGCCUCAAUUUAUUUUAUUGCCCUUCAUGGAGCUACAUUAAUGGUAAGCAUCACAACACCAGUUGCAUAUGUUUGUUUUAAUGAAGAAGUCAUCAUGUGAUCCUUAUUUCAGCAAAUUUUUGGAAGCUUUAGAAAUGCAGAUGAUGUUCCAAAUUCUGAUUAGAAGUAAACAACAGAUUAUCAGAGCAUUUUUGUCGAAUAAGGAAAUAGUAUCCUUUACUGGAAAGAAAGAGACAUAACAUUCACACUGGGGUGUAGGUGGUUAGAAGAAUUAGUGGUCUGUGAGCAUUAACAGAAAAUAAAUAGCACAGAAAUAUUAUUUCAUUUGAGCUACCAGAGCCUAGCAUUUUUAUAAACCAUAAUCUUGACUGCAAGUCUUAAAUAGUAAUGAAAUAAUGAUUGUGAUAAUGCCAAUAUCAAAAAUAUUUGAAAUAAUAAUUUGUGAGGUUUGUGUUGCCUCAUUCCACCUAGCAGCCAACAGGAGCCAAAGGAUAUUUUAAGAAAAUUUUAUUAAAAUCCAUUGCAUUUGAAAAGACUUAGAUCUACAUUUCUACCAUCAGAGGCUGCUUCGUGUUCUUCCCCUAUGGAUACAGAUUAUGUUUGUUUUCAGAAUUGCUGAAGCCAGAAAUACAGUCUGUGAGUUUGAGUGAACUUUCUUCACCUAAUUUCAAAUCUGCUUGAACUUAGUGACUUUGUAUAUUUGAUUUAAGCUGCUUUGAGUUUGCAUUUAAUAAAGAAGAAGAGUAUAGGUGAAGGGAGAAGAGACAGAAAAUCCAAUGCAGAAAUAUCAAGAAAAAAAAGUGUGAUAUACAUGCCACAUGUGAAUUACUUGUUUCUCUUUUAGUAUCUUCUGUGUUUUGCAGCAGAGGAGCUUUCCUUGGCAAAAAAAAAAUAAAUCAAGUUGCCAGGUUUGUUUUUCAUUUAAUCAUGCACUAAGUGUUUUUACUUCAUCAGCUGCAGCCAUAUCAGACAAAUAGAUAUUAUGAUUUUUUUGUGUCCAGCUUUGUAACAUAUUAUCCCAAAAGCAAAUCACCAAAUGCUAGAAGGCACAUGAAAUGGAGUUAUCUAUGUUGCUCUUCUCUUACUGUCUGCUCCAAAGUCUGUCCAUCCCUGAUUUUAAUCACGUCCACUUAGUGGUCAGGCUAAUUCACCCUGCCAGCCAGAUAAUCUAGUUCAGUGUCCACUGCUGUUAUUACAAACUGGAGGUCAAAUCUUUUAUCUGUUUUCUCCAAACUCAGUUGGACACUGUUUCUUGCUGGGAGUCUUUGGAAGAAGGACAUAAAUCUUAUUGCUAAUAUCCCAGGAGGUACUAACACGUCUUCCUACAGGCAUAUCUUCAGGAUUUUCCAGGCUCUGUGAGUUUACAUAAAAAUUUUGAAAAUUCAGUGGGGUUUUUUUGGGUUUGUUUUGGGUUCUUUUAUUUGUUUAUUUUUAUCUCCGUGAUACAAAUAUCUCUACUUACUCAAAACUGAAUUGUGAAUUGUCAACACAGAGUCUUCUGAGAAUUUGCCUUCAUUUUUAUGUCUGUAAACAGGAAUAUAAUUGAAUCCCACUAUCGAUGUUGACUGCCUGUGUGUACAGGUAGUCUUUUGCAGCAUAACCAGUUGACAUGGCUUGUUAUAGUGUGGAUGUGUGCCAGAACCCCCCAAAAUAGAGUGCACACAGAUUUGGGGAAUGCUGCACUACAGAGCAUUCCUUUUACCUCACAGUAAUUUCUGGAUGGUGAAGAGCAGCAAUUUUCUACCUGUGACCUAUGAAGUAUGUGACUUCUGAGUUGGCUGCAAAAGGCAACUUGAAAUAAGUUUUUAUGUUACACCACGGUUUAUGUGAAAUUUGGCAUUUAUGGGUCAAAACCAAUAAAGCCACUUCUGCACAAUUGUAAAAUGGGUUAUACUUUGCUUUAUCUCUAAGCGGUAAUUUAAGACAGGAGGUUGG